GUGUCAGCCGCCGCGGUAAUACGUAGGCAGCGAGCGUUGUUCGGAGUUACUGGGCGUAAAGCGUGCGUAGGCGGUUGUCUAAGUUUGGUGUGAAAUCUCCCGGCUUAACUGGGAGGGUGCGCCGAAAACUGGGUGACUGGAGUGUCGGAGAGGUAAGCGGAAUUCCUGGUGUAGCGGUGAAAUGCGUAGAGAUCAGGAGGAACACCUGUGGUGUAGACAGCUUACUGGACGAUAACUGACGCUGAGGCACGAAAGCGUGGGUAGCAAACAGGAUUAGAUACCCUAGUAGUCC
rnacentral:rRNA from 1 species